UUUUUCAACAACAUGGCGGUUGUUUGUAUGUGUUCGAAGCUGACAGAAAACUGUGUUGAAUAUCUUACUCAAGACAAUUUAACAAAAACAACAUUCGAAAACAGUUUCAGUGGCACUAGAGCUACAAUCCUAUCAUGAAAUAAAUGUGUCCGUCGAAAAGGUAAUUGCACAUCCGAGCAAUUUUCACGUCAAUGUUGUGACGCACAUUGCAAAGUUUCUCGCAAAAAAACAUCCGGUUUGACUGUUAAGUAUGGAAGAAUCAUUUUGCUUCCAUAGCUUGUUGCAGCAACUUGUUAUUGGAAGGUGAACAGUACGUUAGAAUCGCUUAGCACUCGAAGUUUGUUGUAAAAAUGGCAGACAACGGUACGGCUGUAGUUGUUGAUAAUGGAUCAGGUAUGUAGAAAACAAUGGUAAACUCCGUUCUUAAUAUAUUCUAGUUUCGACUACGUAUUACCAGGAAUGAAGGUUAUAUUACAACAAUAUUUAUAGGUGACGAGAUUAAAGUAAUUUGAUAUAUACAAUAAAAUUAGAAGAG